rnacentral:rRNA from 1 species
AUUGAACGCUGGCGGCAUGCCUUACACAUGCAAGUCGAACGGUAACAGGUUAAGCUGACGAGUGGCGAACGGGUGAGUAAUACAUCGGAACGUGCCCAGACGUGGGGGAUAGCUCGGCGAAAGCCGGAUUAAUACCGCAUGUGCUCUGAGGAGGAAAGCGGGGGAUCGCAAGACCUCGCGCGCUUGGAGCGGCCGAUGGCAGAUUAGGUAGUUGGUGGGGUAAAGGCUUACCAAGCCUACGAUCUGUAGCUGGUCUGAGAGGACGACCAGCCACACUGGGACUGAGACACGGCCCAGACUCCUACGGGAGGCAGCAGUGGGGAAUUUUGGACAAUGGGCGAAAGCCUGAUCCAGCAAUGCCGCGUGCAGGAUGAAGGCCUUCGGGUUGUAAACUGCUUUUGUACGGAACGAAAAGGCGCCUACUAAUACUGGGCGUUGAUGACGGUACCGUAAGAAUAAGCACCGGCUAACUACGUGCCAGCCGCCGCAGUAAGAC